rnacentral:lncRNA from 1 species
AAUUUAAUUCCACACAAAUUCUGCAAUGGCCCCAGAACACAAGGAAUGUCAAAUAGGAUGGUAUAGUCGCUUUGCUAGGCAUCCAUACUGUGGAAAAGCUGGAGCAAACUCUGGAGUUAUGUUGACAACGUGACUUGAAUGAGAAGGAAGUAUUUCAAGAAUAAUAUGACAACUGUGUGACUACAAUGAGAAGAUAUGACAUGGCUUAAAAUAUACAAGUUAAACAUUACAUGGGCGAUCAAGAUCUGUUGGAUAUCCUGUUUUUUCAUAAUCCAGAAAGCCUUUUUGUCUUUCCGUGUCAAUGGAAGUGUCGUCCAGAUCAUUGUCUAUAUGGAAGCAGUUGCCAAGAAGCAGAAGAAGGAAUCUUUAUUUUUCACGGGAACAGAGGUGUUUACCAUGAUGAUAAGCAACCAGCAUUUAGAGCUGUUUAUGAAGCACUGAGAAAUUGUUCUUUUAAGAUGACAAUGUUUAUUCAUUAAUAAAACCUUUAGAAUUGGAACUACAAAAAACAGUGCAUACAUACCAUGGAAAAAUUUACUAAAUAUUUAUCAAACAAUUAGCAAAAUCAUAAGAGAUCGCUAUGUCAGAUCACCAAAGGAAAGGUGAUUCUUGUUGCCUGCUACAUCAAAUGGAUGAAAAGAACAAAGCAUCGGAGGAUAAGUAUGAAGGAACUGUCUUGGGUGAAGCGUUAAGGCAGGAAUUAUUCAUCUACAGAAUUUUUUUUUUCCUAAAGAGGUUAAAUGAGCAGUAUUUUCAGGUAAUGAAGAAUAAGUUAAAAUCUUGGGCUUCAACAAAGAAAAAUUUUUGGCCUCUGAUGUUGUGUAAUGUUACUUACUAUCAUUCCAGUAUUGAUGAAAAUAUUAUUGAAUGGUUUUAGCCUGCAAACUUCUGUUGACUCAUACUCUCAAGAGUGGUGGGGCUGUGAAAAUGAAGAAAAUGUACCUCAGACACAGUGCAAACACUCAGGCAAAAGGCUUUUACAUCAAAUAUUGAUAAUGAUAAUAAUAAUGAACACAUGUUGAGCACUUACCAUGUCUCAAGCACUGCUCUAGAGCUUCCCAUGAAAGAACCCCUCUAAUCUUCAGAACAACCCUGUGAGGAGCUGCUGUUAAAUGAACACCUUGAUAUCUUCGUUCUUGGAGAGAAAUGAGCCAAGGAGGAAGACCAUCUAAAAAAAAC